UACGAAGGGGGCUAGCGUUGCUCGGAAUUACUGGGCGUAAAGCGUACGUAGGCGGAUUGUUAAGUGAGGGGUGAAAUCCCGAGGCUCAACCUCGGAACUGCCUUUCAUACUGGCAAUCUUGAGUCCGGGAGAGGUGAGUGGAACUCCUAGUGUAGAGGUGAAAUUCGUAGAUAUUAGGAAGAACACCAGUGGCGAAAGGCGGCUCACUGGCCCCGGGAACUGACGCCUGGAGGUACGAAAGCGUGGGGAGCAAACAGG
rnacentral:rRNA from 1 species